UGGGGAAUAUUGCACAAUGGGGGAAACCCUGAUGCAGCGACGCCGCGUGAACGAAGAAGGUAUUCGUAUCGUAAAGUUCUGUCCUAUGGGAAGAUAAUGACAGUACCAUAGAAGAAAGCUCCGGCUAAAUACGUGCCAGCAGCCGCGGUAAUACGUAUGGGGCGAGCGUUGUCCGGAAUUAUUGGGCGUAAAGGGUACGCAGGCGGUUUAAUAAGUCGAAUGUUAAAGAUCGGGGCUCAACCCCGUAAAGCAUUGGAAACUGAUAAACUUGAGUAGUGGAGAGGAAAGUGGAAUUCCUAGUGUAGUGGUGAAAUACGUAGAUAGUAGGAGGAAUACCAGUAGCGAAGGCGACUUUCUGGACACAAACUGACGCUGAGGUACGAAAGCGUGGGGAGCAAACAGG
rnacentral:rRNA from 1 species